AUGGAGAGGGUCGUGGUGGUCUCCGAGGACGCCGCCGCCUCGGUCUCCUCCGGCCCGUCCUCCUCCUUCGCGGAAACCAGGGUCAUCUGCCGCGUAUGUCAGAAGCAGUUCGCGCAGUACACUUGUCCACGCUGCAACUCCCGCUACUGCUCGCUUACGUGCUACAAGGGGCAUAGUGUGCAAUGCACUGAGUCAUUUAUGCGUGAGAAUGUUACGGAGGAGCUUAAGCAAAUUCAGCCUGAAGAUGAAUCAAAAAGGAAGAUGCUUGAUAUACUCAGACGGUUCCACUUGGAAGAAGAAAUGGAGUCCAAUGGUGAAGAUGAGUCAAUGUUGUCAGAGGAGCUUAUUCAGAAAGCCAUCUCUGGUGACGAAAUCAAGCUUGAGGACCUCUCUGAUGAUGAAAUCAAACGAUUUCGUCAAGCUCUGGCCUCUGGUGAACUCAGCAAGAUGAUUGAACCAUGGACUCCAUGGUGGAAAAAUCCUUCUGCUCAGUCGAUCUCUCUUAGUCAUGAUGGGACCCAGCUUAUCAGACAAAUAAGUACAGACGAUACUACUUUAUCAGAUCCAAUGACCGCGUCAGAAUCUAUCAUCCAUGAAAUACCAGAAGGGCCAGAAUCUCCUCUCCCAUCACUCAAACAGCUAACCAGGGCAGAGCCAUCUCCUUUGCUCACUGUUCACUUAGUUGAUAUUCUCUACAGUUACUGCUUCACACUUCGCCUCUACAAUGGUGAUUGGCAGUCUGAUCCUUUGGGUGCUUCAACUGUUGCCUUGUCUAUGUCGAAAGUCAUGGGGGACGGCGCUAAACCUGAGACAGUAUCUGAAGCGCUCACGACGUGCAUAGAGGAGACAUGCUCCCCAGCUUACAGGCACACCGGAGGUUUCAGGUUUGCUAUUGGACUUGUGGAUGAUAUCAUCACAAUCCUCUCCUUAGGAGGCAAUGCAGUGGUUUGUGCAUUGUGUGACUUCCACAGGCUCUUCCAAGCUGGUGAGAGCAUCCUCAAGGAAGACAAAAUGGGCGAGACGGAAAAGGCACGGAGCUUCAAAAAGCUCCAUGCCGCGGGUAGGAAGCUGUUCUUCAUGACAUGCUGGGCUCAUGAGCAGCCAAGUGAGGCCUGGCCAUCGUUGGCUCGCAUCGUUGAGGUGCAGAAAGCGGCUUUUGAGGAGCUGGACAGUGGAAGCGGACUGAGGAAGGCAGGUAGAAAGAACAACCCUCAGUCCAAGGUUCUGAUCGAGGAGGUGUAA
rnacentral:rRNA from 1 species